GAUGAACGCUGGCGGCGUGCCUAAUACAUGCAAGUCGAGCGAACGGACGAGAAGCUUGCUUUUCUGAUGUUAGCGGCGGACGGGUGAGUAACACGUGGAUAACCUACCUAUAAGACUGGGAUAACUUCGGGAAACCGGAGCUAAUACCGGAUAAUAUUUUGAACCGCAUGGUUCAAAAGUGAAAGACGGUCUUGCUGUCACUUAUAGAUGGAUCCGCGCUGCAUUAGCUAGUUGGUAAGGUAACGGCUUACCAAGGCAACGAUGCAUAGCCGACCUGAGAGGGAGAUGGGCCACAGGAGACAGAAAACAGGCACCAACGUACUAGGGGAGGAAGCAGAGGGUAAUCUGCCGAAAGGGGCAAAGGCCUGACGGAGCACGGCGGGGGAAGGGAUGAGGGUCUUGGUAUCGAAAAACUUUGUUUUAGGGAAAAAACAUAUUGGUAAGUAACUGUGCACAUCUUGACGGUCCCAAAAAAAAAAGCCACGGCAAACUCCGUG
rnacentral:rRNA from 1 species